UGCGUUUUGGGUCCACGAUAAGCGGUGACAACACGGCGUUGAAGCACCUCAUAAACAGCCUUCCUCCCAGAGUGCUGCAAGGCCACGUCCGUACGGCUCCAAUGCAGUGUCCCUUCAACUGCUAUCCCUGGUUACCCACUUGGAAGAACGCCUACCGUCUGAUCUUCUCGCCUCUCAAGAGCUGGAAAGGAGGACUUUAUGGUGCACCUUGCGGGCUUAGAUGAGAAGAAGAAAUGGGCUGCCAGGAUACAAAGUGAAUUAAGAGCUUGAAGGCUUAUGCGUAUGGGAGUGCAGGAAGGGCAUGCUUGGUACUAAUUGUUAUUCAGCCAUGGAUCUAUCCGUUGUGGAACUCUUGCAAUGUUUCACUACUUUAUUACCUACUUACGAGUCUUGGCGAGACUCCCAUAAUUGUAGCUUUCGUGAAGUACUUGAAUUAUUGAAUUAAUGUAAUUUAUCCUACCAUUGAACUGUGAUCGGAAAAGUAAUAAUUUAUAAAUGAAUUUCACCAAAUACAGUAAUUGGAGAGAUUUAGCUGCAA